GGUUGUAAAGCACUUUCAAUUGGGAGGAAAAGCUGAAGGUUAAUACCCUUUGGUCUUGACGUUACCAGUAGAAGAAGCACCGGCUAACUCCGUGCCAGCAGCCGCGGUAAUACGGAGGGUGCAAGCGUUAAUCGGAAUUACUGGGCGUAAAGCGCGCGUAGGUGGUUUGUUAAGUCGGAUGUGAAAGCCCCGGGCUCAACCUGGGAAUUGCAUUCGAUACUGGCAGACUAGAGUAUGGUAGAGGGAAGUGGAAUUCCAGGUGUAGCGGUGAAAUGCGUAGAUAUCUGGAGGAACAUCAGUGGCGAAGGCGACUUCCUGGACUAAUACUGACACUGAGGUGCGAAAGCGUGGGUAGCAAACAGGAUUAGAUACCCUGGUAGUCCACGCCGUAAACGAUGUCAACUAGUUGUUGGGAGGGUUAGACCUCUUAGUGACGCAGCUAACGCAUUAAGUUGACCGCCUGGGGAGUACGAUCGC
rnacentral:rRNA from 1 species